GCAGGCUUGGCAACUUUGGAGUGAUGAAAAAUUGGGUGAGUUGAUUUAUUCUCCUUCAGGCAAUGGACACCAUGAGAUAGAAAGAUGCAUUCAUGUGGCACUUUUAUGCGUCCAAGAAAGUGCAGAGCAUCGACCUGAUAUGGAGCGAGUUAUCACAAUGCUAAACACUAAGGAUGUGAACUUACCCAAUCCUGCGCAACCAGCUUACUUCCAUGUAAAUCCUAGUGAGGAAGAAGUUUUGUCAUGCAGCGCUACUAUGAGUAUCACGCUAGAAAGGUAGAACCACAUUGUCAUCAAUUCUGACAGAAAUGCUGGUAUUAUCUUCAUCAAGAUGAACAUAUUUGCGUUGAUAAUCAUAUGAGUAAGCUUGAUUGUUAUGGAUAUUUCUUUAAUAGAACAGACAUUUUUUACCAAUUUGUUCGGAUAUGUAAAACCAUUGCUGGGCUGAAUCUUUGACAUUUCAACCUUGUGUCUUAAACAACAAAAUGAGGGCGUCCUGAGCAUGAAACAACAGCACCGGUUUGUGUUCUUGAGCUACUUUAUUCCUAGAAGGAACUUCACAACAAGUAAUACUACAUGACAAUGAUGUCCUCUUGGAUUAGACGAAAUUCAUGGGCACGAACUUGCUUCUCUUCCCCCCUCCUUCUCUCCUAACUCUGUAAUCAUACUGGUAUUUCCGUUCUUCGCAAUGGAAAUGGGGGAAGCCUCGAUUCAAAAAAACAAACAAACUGCAAUUGGGAAUUGGGAAUCACAUAAUGGGGAUACAGAUUAUUUGAGCAACAGACGGCACCGCCCACUGGUGAAUGCCUACGAAUCCCGAAGCCAAUGCUAGCUCUGACUCGAAAGCAGAAGCGAAAAGAGAGGACUCGUGGAGCCGAACCUGGGUCUGGGUUCCCCUUCCCCUUGGAGCAAGCAAGGUCACCAGGCGCGUGGCCCUGAAGCCGCUACCCUACCCCGCGUCGUGGACAGGGCGCUCGCCUGGCGGUCGUCGGCGCAACGCAACCGCGCAAGGGACUGAAGCUGAACGCCGCCUCGCCGUCGGCCUCCUGCUGCCCCGGGCACCUCUUGGCUGUGGUGGGCUCAUGGAGCAGAGCCGAACGCAAUAUGGGCCGGGCAUGUUCAAUCUUUUUUAGUCUUCUUGAGUGGACUGAGCAGAAAAUAAAUGGCACGAUCUCCCUUCUCUCUCGGUGCGACGCGCCGACGGCAACAUGCCAACAUCGUGCGACGGGUAUGCGUGACGCUGCCCAUGCAUUGGUUGAUACAGAAAGCCAUCGCCGUGGACACAUUUUCCACCAGGAUGGAGUGGGAACCGGUGCCAAGACUGCAAGGCACCAA
rnacentral:lncRNA from 1 species